rfam:Myotis brandtii contig278713, whole genome shotgun sequence.
AAACACUGCCUUUGAAACUCACAGGUCUUGGGCAUAGCUUCACAGUCAAGCAACAGUGUAGAGUCCAAGGGCUUGUUAUAAGGGCUCUUCAGCACUCAGCUGAACUGCUCUUUUAAAAACAAGGUACACUU